rnacentral:tRNA from 1 species
CAGUGGGUGGCUAAGUAGUACAGUAUCUCCCUUACUCUGAGAAGACACCCGUGCAAUUCGGGUCCCACUGA